rnacentral:lncRNA from 1 species
GAUUGUCAGGCAGAUCUGGCUGUGGAAAGGAGACUGUGGACAGCAAGUUUAGAGGCGUGACUGAAAGUCUUGCUGCGAUCUGAGCUGCUGAAUCAGGUUUCUGGUUACUAUGGGCAACGGCCGUGUUUUCUUUUUGAUGUCCUUUGCAGUGGAUCACAGCUACCUGCUGAGAAACUCCUAGAGGGCAGAGGCAUGCCUGCCAUCUUCAUCAUUGCAUUACCAUCACCCAACACUAUCAGGGGACCUGCCCUGAUAAUCAGACAUUUGAAAUUCUACAAUGAACUCAUCAGGGAUGCAAAUGAAAGUGCCUCUGCAGAGACAGAAAACCCGCAAUCGAGCAUCAUCGACUCGCAGGGUGAACAAAAUGGUGAUAUCAGAAGAACAGAUGAAGUUACAAUCCACCAAGGAAACUGCACAUGUGGAGAGUCAGGGAGAGGAAGAGAAAGAAAAAGAGACAGAGAUCAGAGAGAGACACAGAAAGUGAGACUGGGGAGAGAGAUAGUAUAAAAUAGAGAGAGAGAGAGAGACCGUAAGAGAAGGGAGACAAAGAGAUAAAAGGUGCGAGUGAGCAGGUGAGGAGAAAGACUGAAAACGAUGAGAAACAGCAACUAAGACACAAAGGAGUCUACAGUUGUAUCCAGCAGCUCCAGAGAGACAGCGACCAGCAAGAAGGGGCCAUGAUGAUGGUGGUGGUUUUUUCAAAACGAAAAGGGGGAUAUGUAGGGAAAAGAAAGAGAGAUCAGACUCUUACAGACUCUUACUGUGUCUACAUAGAAAGGGAAGACAUAAGAGACUCCAUUUGGAAAAAGACCUGUACUUUAAACAAUUGCUUUGCUGAGAUGUUGUUAAUCUGUAGCUUUGCCCCAGCCACUUUGCCCCAACCACUUUGACCCAGUCUGGAGCUCACAAAAACAUGUGUUGUAUGAAAUCAAGGUUUAAGGCAUGUAGGGCUGUGCAGGAUGUGCCUUGUUAACCAAAUGUUUGCAAGCAGUAUACUUGGUAAAAGUCAUCACCAUUCUCUUGUCUCAAUAAACCAGGGGCACAAUGCACUGUGGAAAGCCGCAGGGACCUCUGCCCUUGAAAGCUGGGUAUUAUUCAAAGUUUCCCCCCAUGUGAUAGUCUGAAAUAUGGCCUCGUGGGAUGAGAAAGGCCUGACGGUCCCCUAGCCCGACACCCAUAAAAGGUCUGUGCUGAGGUGGAUUAGUCAAAGAGGAAAGACUCUUGCAUUUGAGAUAGAGGAAGGCCACUGUCUCCUGCCUGCCCCUGGGAACUGAAUGUCUCGGUAUAAAACACGAUUGUACAUUUGUUCAAUUCUGAGAUGGGAGAAAAACCGCCCUAUGGUGGGAGGUGAGACAUGUUUACAGCAAUACUGCCUUGAUAUUCUUUACUCCACUGAGAUGUUUGGGUGGAGAGAAACAUAAAUCUGGCUUACAUGCACGUUCAGUCAUAGUACCUUCCCUUGAACUUCAUUAUGACAUAGAUUCUAUUGCUCACAUGUUUGUUGCUGACCUUCUUAUUAUCACCCUGCCCUCCUACUACAUUCCUUUUUGCUGAAAUAAUAAAGAUAGUAUUCAAUAAAAACUGAGGGAACUCAGAGACCGGUGCCAGUGCAGGUCCUUGGUAUGCUAAGCGCCGGUACCCUGGGCCCACUGUUGUUUCUCUAUACUUUGUUUCUGUGUCUGAUUUCUUUUCUGUCUCUCAUCCCACCCAACAAGAAAUACCCACAGGUGUGGAGGGGCAGGCCACCCCUUCAGUAUGAG